rnacentral:rRNA from 1 species
GACGAACGCUGGCGGCGUGCCUAAUACAUGCAAGUCGAACGCAGUGGGGACGGGUGAGUAACACGUGGGUAACCUCCCAUCAGAGGGGAUAACACUUGGAAACAGGUGCUAAACCGAUACGGAUGAAGGGACCCGCGGUGCAUUAGCUAGUUGGUGAGGUAACGGCUCACCAAGGCCACGAGGCAUAGCUGACCUGAGAGGGUGAUCGGCCACACUGGGACUGAGACACGGCCCAGACUCCUACGGGAGGCAGCAGUAGGGAAUAUUCGGCAAUGGGCGAAAGUCUGACCGAGCAAUGCCGCGUGAUUGAAGAAGGUUUUCGGAUUGUAAAACUCUUUUGUUAGGGAAGCGGUAUUUAACCAGAAAGCCACGGCUAACUACGUGCCAGCAGCCGCGGUAAUUC